rnacentral:snRNA from 1 species
AUACCUUCUCGGCCUCUUGGCUAAGAUCAAUUUGUAGUACCUGUUCUUAUCAGCGUGAUAGCUGAUACGGGUCCUAUUGGGCCCUAUCUUAUCACGACAAUUUUUCGCAGGGGAGAUCUCUCCUUCGGGCUUGCCCUGGAGUUUUCUCGCGCGUUGCCUCCCCUUGCACUUCCGGGAUGAGCGGUGCCCCCGUC